AGAAGGAGUUGAGUGAUGGUAGAUAUCAGGCCCUGGUCUGCGGCUUGGAAGUUUCCUGUGAAUAAGAAAAACAUCAUCGCUUCUUGAGUCACAAGGAUGAUAGGAUGAGAAAAAGAAAGGACAAAGGCACCAGAGGAGGUAAGAACAUAUGAGAGGCAGGCUGAGACCAAUUUUCUACCAGGCCAGCUAAUUCAUCACAAUGACAAGCUAUGGGUCAUAUGCUUUCAGGAACCAGACACUGGAACAUGUCGUCUGAUGUACAUCACACCAAAACAAAGAAGGCAUUAGUUUACUGCCUGUAAAGAGAGCAGAUCAAGGCUGAGGAACAGACAGAAGUCAGCAGACGUCCUGGAAAUGUCACCAAUCUUUUCUGAGAAAAACAAAGGAACCACUUCUUGGUUACCAGAGAAAUAAAAAAAGAAUUGGAAAGCCAAUGUCCAAUUAUUUACUAAAACAGAAUCCACUGGAGAGAAAUGCAAAGGCAGGUAAAAAGGCAAUCUCUUAACAUGAAAACUCACAACUGUAAAAUGAGAACCUAAACUAUACAGCGACAAACUCAGGAAAAAGUCUCCAGCUACUGCUGUCUCUCAGACUCUCACAGUAUGUGUAACCACUUCCUCCUCUGCACGGAAUCACCCCAGAAGAUCAACUCUACUAGAUCAUUUGAGGACAAUGAACAAAGUCUCAAGACUGAAUUCCCACAGAAAACAUUCUCAUGAAACCACCCAAUAUUCUGGUGAAGUUAAAGAAGGGCAUGUGUUCGGAGACAACCAGAAGCAGCAAUGCUCAAAACCACAAAACUCUGGAUUGCCGACUCUGCACAUCCUGGUUCCUCUAGAUACAGUUCAGUGGCACAUUCACAAAUAAACGUUUUCAAAAACUGCCCUCAGGCAGUUCUAGAGAAAUGCUUUGACUUGCCUAAUGGUAUAAUGUCAAGAAAGGAAGACGAGCACUGAUCAUUCAUACUCAUUAUUACAGUCACAGGGCACUGUCUGACUUGACAGAUACAGCCGAGCAGUUAAAAGGUUAUGGGAAUUUAAGUCCAUUAUGGUCAUACGAUUCUUAUGGACCCAGAGAUAUGAAAUUAAUCAGCCACAUGUGUAGGGACAAAGUUUGUCAUAAAUAGAUAUAAGUUAUCUGCAUGCUAAGAACUUAGUUACUUAACUCUGUUUCCUCAUGUUAAUAUAAACAUAAUUAUAGAAUGCAAAUGAAAUACUUAGCCUGGAGCCUAUUAUAUAGGAAGCACUCAAUAAUUUCAAACUAUUGAGUAUAUUAUUAGAUAGGCUCCAUAAUUAUUUAUUCCUUUUUCAACAGACAGUAUGAUCUAUUGAAAAUAAAGCCAAACUAGAUUUCUUUGACCCACUCCUUUUUCUGUUUGUAUUGUUGGCAAGUUGUUCUAAAUCAACUUGCCAACAUACUAUUAACAUGUUAUUAACAUAGAAGGGAUGCUUAUUUUGUUUGCUUUGUAAGAAAUGCUUCUGAUUCAGUAACUGGGCAAUUUAUUUAAAUAUAAGUAAAAAGCAGAUUUUAUUAAAAACUACUUUGUGCUAUCAUAAAUAACUCAUUGUUCUCUGUGAUUCAGAAGUGGAUUUAUUAUUCUUUUGGGGUUGGGGAAGGCACUGAGACUGGUUUCAGCACUGAUAUUUUGCUUUGGUCCACAGACAGUCCAAGUCUAAUGAGUUACUAAAGGAAAAUGACAUUUUACUGAACUGUUUUCUUCAUAAAUAUAACAGA
rnacentral:lncRNA from 1 species